UGACUCCUUAAGGGUCCUGAAGGAACGUUGAAGACGACGACGUUGAUAGGCCGGGUGUGUAAGCGCAGCGAUGCGUUGAGCUAACCGGUACUAAUGAACCGUGAGGCUUAACCUUACAACGCCGAAGGUGUUU
rnacentral:rRNA from 2 species